rnacentral:lncRNA from 1 species
AUGACUAUCCAGAGUUGGGACCAGGAAGCAGAGUUGCAGUCUUACACGCCUCUCUGCAGCUUCUCUCCUCCUGCUACCCCCCAAAAACCCAUCUCCACUGAGACUGUGUCAGCUCCCAAACAGACAAAAAACAAACUAAAAACCAGCAACAAACAACUUAAACAUAAAAAAACCUCUGUCAGUGCGCCCCAGGCCAGCUGUGGCUACAAUGUAGCUUGCCACCACCAGUGUGUGAAUGUGUGGAUGACUGAAUGCAGUGUAAAGUGCUUUGGGGUCCUCCUAUACAAAUACAGGCCAUUUACCAUUUACCAUUUUAACAUCCAUGUAGAUGCUAAAAAUGACAGCCUCAACAUGGCAUUUAAUCUGUUAUUAGACUCAAGUGGCUUCUGUCAAAAUGUAAAAGAACCCACCCACCACUUUAAUCACACUCUAGAUCUUGUUUUAACAUAUGGCAUAGAAACUGAACAUUUAACAGUGUUUCCUGAAAACCCUCUGCUGUCUGAUCAUUUCCUGAUAACAUUUACAUUUACAAUAAUUGAUUACACAGCAGUGGAGAGUAGACUUUAUCAAAGUAGAUGUCUUUCUGAAAGUGCUGUAACUAAGUUUGAGAAUAUAAUCCACCCACUGUUAUCAUCUUCAAUGCCCUGUACCAACAUAGAGCAGAGCAGCUAUCUGAACGCUACUCCAACAGAGGUCGAUCAUCUUGUUAAUAAUUUUACCUCCUCACUACGUACGACUCUGGAUACUGUAGCUACUGUGAAAACUAAGGUCUCAAAUCAGAAGUACCUGACUCCGUGGUAUAAUUCUCAAACGCGUAGCCUAAAGCAGAUAACUCGUAAGCUGGGGAGGAAAUGGCGUGUCACAAAUUUAGAGGAUCAUCAUUUAGCCUGGAGAAAUAGUUUGCUGCUUUAUAAGAAAGCCCUCCGCAAAGCCAGAACAUCUUACUAUUCGUCACUGAUUGAAGAAAAUAAGAACAACCCCAGGUUUCUCUUCAGCACUGUAGCCAGGCUGACAAACAGUCAGAGCUCUAUCGAGCUAACUAGUAAUGACUUCAUAAACUUCUUCACACAUAAAAUUUUAAUCAUUAGAGAAAAAAUUACCAAUAAUCAUCCCACAGAGACGCAUGGAGAUCAGGGGCAGUACCCCUGGACUGGCAGACCGGGGUGGUGGUCUCUAUCUUUAAGAAGGGGGACCGGAGGGUGUGUUCCAACUACAGGGGGAUCACACUCCUCAGCCUCCCUGGAAAGUCUAUGCCAGGGUGUUGGAAAGGAGAGUUCGUCCAACCAGUCUACAUGUGUUUUGUGGACUUGGAGAAGGCAUUCAACCGUGUCCCUUGGGGUGUCCUGCACUCAAAAAAAUGAAUGA